AUCACUUCUUGGCCUUUUGGCUAAGAUCAGGUGUAGUAUCUGUUCUUAUCAGUUUAAUAUCUGAUACGUCCUCUUUCUGAGGACAAUAUAGUAAAUGGAUUUUUGGAACCAGGAGUUGGAAUAGGAGCUUGCUCCGUCCUCCCCACGCAUCAACCUGGUAUUGCAGUACCUCUAGGAACAGUGUAUAAAAA
rnacentral:snRNA from 1 species